UAUAGCUUACACUAAAUUUUAUGUUACUUUUUUACAGUUUGUGGGUCAGCUUUAAUCUGUUUUGAAAAGCUUUUCCACCAUUUUACGGAUAUUUUUGUCAUGCUUUUUAUCCUUCUCUUAUUUUGGCUGCAAAUUAAAUUGUAUUUAAAAAAAUGUUAUUUCUAUAAUUUUGAUAUGCAGCUAAAUGAUUUAAAAUGAAGCAAAAAAAGAAAAAUACUUCUUCAGACAAACUACUUCAUGCGUGCCUCUUACAUAAACUCUGCCAAUACAAGAUCGAACCCUGGUAGGAAUGUAAAUCAUGGUGAGAUUCGACCACUUUGAACAUGCAUACUCUAGCUCUCUUCUAAUUUUAACACUACACUUAUUUUCAUUUUAAAUCUUUUGAUCUUCAAUACCUAAACGUUCUCUUCUUGAUCCUGUCUUAAAAUCCAGACACUUAUAGUGACAAAAAAAAAAAACAUGACUAAUGUCGUAAAACAAGUUCUUAAAUACCUCACACCAUCCUCUCGCUCUCCCACCUUGACCUUAAUUCAUAUCUCUACAUUAGCCAGUAAACUCUGAUUCUAGAGUUUUUGCUGGACAAGAAAGAAAUCUUUGUGUAACUUAAGAGUCAAGAGAUGACAAAGAAGGAUCUUCUUUACGAUUCAAUACUUGCUCGUAGCUUUAGCAAAACUGAUCAGAUGAGACUUGGCUUUGGAGCUUUCAUUGCCUCUCUUCUCUUUGUCUUCACUCUUUGCACUGUCGUUAAACCUUAUCUCAGCCCUUUACCAAUCGUGGAGUUACAAAUAUCAGUUGGCACAGGAUGCUGAGAAUAACAGAACCGCAAGCGUUAAGGAGCAGCAAGAAUGCAACAUCUGAAGAUUCUGAGAAACUCAUUACUCAGACCCUAAUCAGUUCUGAAGAUCACAAGCUUAGUGUCUGCAACGACACAAGCAUGCCAAAGAAUCAUCUUGAUUCGUUUAAUUGUACUACCAACACUACAAUCUCCAAAGAAGAAGUUAUUUCAGAGUGCAAUAAAAUGGAGAAACCUAUCUGUCACUGUAACAAGCUAGGAAGCAAAGAGUUUUGCGAUCUAAGCGGCGACGUAACUGUUCUUGCGGCGAUCACGUACGUCUGCGUUUUCCGGGAAUUCAACGUGGCAUAUGAGACCUUAUGCGAGAAAAGACCAAGGUGCGGCCAUGAAACGCGUGAGAGAAUGGACGGUGAAAUUAAUACAAAACGCUAGUUUAUCACGUUGCGUUAAGAAUCACAGCGUUCCGGCGAUUCUUUUCUCCCUCGGAGGCUUCUCGUUGAACAAUUUCCAUGAUUUCACGGACAUCGUGAUUCCUCUGUACACGACGGCGCGUAGAUUCGACGGUGAAGUUCAAUUCCUCGUGACGAACAAGAAUCCAUGGUGGAUCAGCAAAUUUAAGGGAUUAGUGAGGAAAUUUUCGAAUUAUGAAGUGAUUUACAUCGACGAAGAAGACGAAACGCAUUGUUUCGGCAGCGUCAUUGUCGGUCUCAAUCGCCACCGUGAUUAUGACAAAGAACUAACGAUCGAUCUUUCGAAUUCGGAGUGUUCCAUGUCCGAUUUCCGGAAAUAUCUCAGAGACGCAUACUCGUUGAGAAACGCCGCCGUGUCUACGUGGCGGAGGCCACGGCUUCUAAUUUUGUCGAGGAGCAUAUCGCGAGCGUUUGUGAACGCUGAUGAAAUCGCUAGAGCGGCGAGACAGAUGGGAUUCAAUGUCGUGGUGGUGGAAGCAAACACCGGAAUUGCGAGUUUCGCACAAACUGUGAAUUCCUGUGACGUGAUGCUUGGCGUUCACGGCGCGGGACUGACGAACAUGGUGUUCUUACCAGAGAACGCGGUCGUGAUUCAGAUUCUUCCGAUCGGUGGAUUCGAGUGGCUUGCGAACACGGAUUUCGAGGAUCCGUCGAAGGGAAUGAAUCUGAGGUAUUUGGAGUAUAAGAUCGCGGCGGAGGAGAGUACGCUGGCGAAGCAGUACGGACGUGAUCACGAGGUCGUUAGAGAUCCAUCGGCGGUUGCAAAACGCGGGUGGGGAACGUUCAAGUCGGUUUAUUUGGUACAGCAGAACGUGACCGUUGAUAUAAACCGGUUCAAGCCGGUUCUUGUCAAAGCUCUUGAGUUAUUACAUAAUCAGUCGGUGUAAAUAAGUAAAUUUCAAGCAUUCGUGUACUGUAAAUUAUUCUAGUCGGAUCGAAAUAAUUACCAGUAAAUAACCUUGUUUUGUCUC